CAGAUUUUUCUUCUUCUUCAUCCAUGCUCCACGCCAUUCUUGAAGCUUCCAUGCCAUUUUCUCUUUAUCCACCAUGGAAUCAAGUUUUCUUCACUUUCCUUUCCAUGUUUUCUUUUCCUUUCUUCUCCAAACUUCUUGAGCAUUAAAUUUACAACCUUUAACCCCAAUUUUCAGCACACCUAAACCCUAAGAGGAGAAGAAAGAAAAAGAGAGAAAGGAAGAAAAAGCUUGGUUUGGGUGAUUCAAGCAAGGAACGGUAAGAAUUCUUGUUUUUGGCUUGAGUAGUCUUUGAAAAUGAGUCAGUGACUUAGAGAAAUGUCUUGUGGCAGCAAAGAUUGGCUUGAUUAGAGAACAAUUGGUAACAUGUAAGCCAAUAAACCCAUGGGUACAUGAAGGACUUAAAGUGGAAAAAGAAAACGGUAAGCUUAACACUAUGUUUUAAAGCCUACGGUUAGUUGAAUAUUGUGAUGGAAUUAUGGUUGUUGAAAGGAUCUAUUUGCAUAAGCUAGUUGAAAAUUGCUAAGAUUGUAUGGCAUCUUUUUUGAAAGAAAUAAAAAAGGAAUAUUGUGGAUGGAGGAUUGAGAAACAAAGUAUUGAAAGUUAGAUAGAUAACGAUGCAUGUAAACUAGGAAAUAAUUGAGUGAAAGUGAGAAUAAUUGUUGUUGCCAUAUAUGCGGAUUAUGUGUUGAAAUAUAAGAUGGAUUUGGGUGGAAAUUAUUUAUAAGGUUGAAGUAGGCACGUGACAUCAUAAAUAAGUUACCGGUGAUAUAAUCUAAAGAAUUUUGUAAGCAAUGGAAGUAAGUAAUUUUGGUAAAAAUGUAUUAAGAUGUGAGUUAAUUGAAGAUGAUUUCACGAUAGGAUGAAAAUAUAAAUUUGAGUAAGGAUUAAUUGAUUGAAGUUCUGCCCGUAUACGUAUGUAAUUAAAUAUAUUGAAUUCGUAUUAUUGCUAGGAAGUGCAAAGAUAAAGUUAAAGAGCUGUGGUGGCAUGCCAGAGUAAAUAACGAGCAACCAGCCAGUGAAAAUAGUUAGAGACACCUCCGAACAAAUAGCGACUUAAAAUCUCAUUGUUGCCAGGUGAGUGAACUUGCAUUAAAAUGUCUUGGGAUAUACACGUUUAUGUUUGAUUGAAUCCUCUAAAACGUUUUAUUGGUUUUUCUUCAAAAACUUGCACGGGAACAAGCCCUUACGAAAUGUUUUUAUGUUAUGAAAUGGAUAGUGUGAUGAAUUCAUAUGAUUCUAUGUAACGAUAUAUAUAUAUACUAUGUCAUAAAUGGUACCAUUGUGUGACAAAUGCAACUGUGCAUGUGCGGAGUGGGCAGUGCACAUGCCGGUAAUGAUGCUGUUGUGAUAAUU
rnacentral:lncRNA from 1 species